rnacentral:rRNA from 1 species
UGUGUUCCUGAGCCUUGUACACACCGCCCGUCAAGCCACGAAAGAUCGGAGCGCCCGAAGUCGCCUCACGGUGCCGAAGGCGAAACGGUCGAUUGGGACUAAGUCGUAAACAAGGUACC